rnacentral:lncRNA from 1 species
CAAUCCAAUAUGUCCCCUUUGGUCAAGGAGCUUCCGAUCCAAUGGAACUGGCAGAUAACUACAAUCUGUUGUGCCGAGAGCUACCAAGGACAAGAGUAACAAACAUAAAGGAUGAUGUUUGUCCCGAUUCUACAAGGCAGAGAGGGUGACAUUUUCAACUCCUUUCUGGCACCAGCUCCCCUACAAGAAAAGAACCGUAUAAAACCCAGGUGAAGAAAUUAAUUUAUCUGCCCAAAGUAAUAUCACUAUCACAUGAAUAUUUGAAGGAAUGAGUGAGUGAAUCAUAAUGAGCUGGUACGUCAGGAAUCUAAGACACUAACCCAUGCUGUU